UUGAUCCUGGCUCAGGAUGAACGCUAGCUACAGGCUUAACACAUGCAAGUCGAGGGGCAGCAUGUUGGUUGCUUGCAACCAAUGAUGGCGACCGGCGCACGGGUGAGUAACGCGUAUCCAACCUUCCCCUUAGUAGAGGAUAGCCCGGCGAAAGUCGGAUUAAUACUCUAUGUUGUAUUUUGAUGACAUCUGACGAAUACCAAAGAUUUAUCGCUAAGGGAUGGGGAUGCGUCUGAUUAGGUUGCAGGCGGGGUAACGGCCCACCUGGCCUACGAUCAGUAGGGGUUCUGAGAGGAAGGUCCCCCACACUGGUACUGAGACACGGACCAGACUCCUACGGGAGGCAGCAGUGAGGAAUAUUGGUCAAUGGGCGCGAGCCUGAACCAGCCAAGUAGCGUGCAGGACGACUGCCCUAUGGGUUGUAAACUGCUUUUAUCAGGGAAUAAAGUGAGGCACGCGUGCCUUUUUGUAUGUACCUGAUGAAUAAGGACCGGCUAAUUCCGUGCCAGCAGCCGCGGUAAUACGGAAGGUCCGGGCGUUAUCCGGAUUUAUUGGGUUUAAAGGGAGCGCAGGCGGCCUGUGCAAGCGUGACGUGAAAUGCGGGUGCUCACCAUCCGGACUGCGUCGCGGACUGCCGGGCUUGAGUUCACGGAAGGCGCGCGGAAUUCGUGGUGUAGCGGUGAAAUGCUUAGAUAUCACGAAGAACCCCGAUUGCGAAGGCAGCGCGCCGCAGUGUUACUGACGCUGAGGCUCGAAGGUGCGGGUAUCGAACAGGAUUAGAUACCCUGGUAGUCCGCACGGUAAACGAUGGACACCCGCUGUGCGCCUGUUUAGGUGUGCGGCCAAGCGAAAGCGUUAAGUGUCCCACCUGGGGAGUACGCCGGCAACGGUGAAACUCAAAGGAAUUGACGGGGGCCCGCACAAGCGGAGGAACAUGUGGUUUAAUUCGAUGAUACGCGAGGAACCUUACCCGGGCUUGAACUGCGGCGGAACGAUCCAGAGAUGGUGAGGUCAGCGAUGACCGCCGCGGAGGUGCUGCAUGGUUGUCGUCAGCUCGUGCCGUGAGGUGUCGGCUUAAGUGCCAUAACGAGCGCAACCCCUUUCGCCAGUUGCCAUCACGUCUGGGUGGGCACUCUGGCGACACUGCCACCGCAAGGUGUGAGGAAGGUGGGGAUGACGUCAAAUCAGCACGGCCCUUACGUCCGGGGCUACACACGUGUUACAAUGGGCGGCACAGAGAGCAGGCGCUGCGCAAGCCGCGCCGAAUCAAGAAACCCGCCCUCAGUUCGGAUUGGGGUCUGCAACCCGACCCCAUGAAGCUGGAUUCGCUAGUAAUCGCGCAUCAGCCAUGGCGCGGUGAAUACGUUCCCGGGCCUUGUACACACCGCCCGUCAAGCCAUGAAAGCCGGGGGCGCCUGAAGUCCGUGACCGCGAGGGUCGGGCUAGGGCGAAACCGGUGAUUGGGGCUAAGUCGUAACAAGGUA
rnacentral:rRNA from 1 species